GACGAACGCUGGCGGCGUGCUUAACACAUGCAAGUCGAACGGUGAAGCGCCUUCCUUUUUGGUGGGUGUGGAUGAGUGGCGAACGGGUGAGUAACACGUGAGUAACCUGCCCCCUUCUUCUGGAUAACCGCAUGAAAGUGUGGCUAAUACGGGAUAUUCUGGGUCUGUCGCAUGAUGGGUCUGGGAAAGAUAUUGUUUCGGUGGGGGAUGGGCUCGCGGCCUAUCAGCUUGUUGGUGGGGUGAUGGCCUACCAAGGCGGUGACGGGUAGCCGGCCUGAGAGGGUGGACGGUCACACUGGGACGGAGACACGGCCCAGACUCCUACGGGAGGCAGCAGUGGGGAAUAGUGCACAAUGGGCGCAAGCCUGAUGCAGCGACGCCGCGUGAGGGAUGGAGGCCUUCGGGUUGUGAACCUCUUUCGCCAGUGAAGCAGGCCUGCCUCGUUUGUGGGUGGGUUGACGGUAGCUGGAUAAGAAGCGCCGGCUAACUACGUG
rnacentral:rRNA from 1 species